rnacentral:rRNA from 1 species
GAUGAACGCUGGCGGCGUGCCUAAUACAUGCAAGUCGAGCGAACGGACGAGAAGCUUGCUUCUCUGAUGUUAGCGGCGGACGGGUGAGUAACACGUGGAUAACCUACCUAUAAGACUGGGAUAACUUCGGGAAACCGGAGCUAAUACCGGAUGAUAUUUUGAACCGCAUGGUUCAAAAGUGAAAGACGGUCUUGCUGUCACUUAUAGAUGGAUCCGCGCUGCAUUAGCUAGUUGGUAAGGUAACGGCUUACCAAGGCAACGAUGCAUAGCCGACCUGAGAGGGUGAUCGGCCACGCUGGAACUGAGACACGGUCCAGACUCCUACGGGAGGCAGCAGUGGGGAAUCUUCCGCGAUGGGCGAAAGCCUGACGGAGCAACGCCGCGUGAGUGAUGAAGGUCUUCGGAUCGUAAGACUCUGUUAUUAGGGAAGAACAUAUGUGUAAGUAACUGUGCACAUCUUGACGGUACCUAAUCAGAAAGCCACGGCUAACUACGUG